CUGAGCGAGGGCCUCCGGGCCCGACCUCCAACCCCAUGUUAUCCGACCCUGUUGCCUCGGGGGUGACCCGGCGCCGCGCGAGCGGCCGCCCGGGGCCCCCGGCGGACCCCUCAACGCUGCAUCUUUGCGUCCGAGUCUGAUUUGAAUCAAUCA
rnacentral:misc_RNA from 1 species